UCUGGUGGCGAUAGCGAAGAGGUCACACCCGUUCCCAUAUCGAACACGGAAGUUAAGCUCUUUAGCGCCAAUGGUAGUUGGGACUUUGUCCCUGUGAGAGUAGGACGUUGCCAGGC
rnacentral:rRNA from 1 species